AUACGGAGGGUGCAAGCGUUACUCGGAAUCACUGGGCGUAAAGCGCGCGCAGGCGGCUAUUUAAGUUGGAUGUGAAAGCCUACGGCUCAACCGUAGAACUGCAUCCAAAACUAUUUAGCUAGAGUGUGGGAGAGGAAGAUGGAAUUAGUUGUGUAGGGGUAAAAUCCGUAGAGAUAACUAGGAAUACCAAAAGCGAAGGCAAUCUUCUGGAAAACUACUGACGCUGAGGCGCGAAAGCGUGGGGAGCAAACAGGAUUAGAAACCCUAGUAGUCC
rnacentral:rRNA from 1 species